rnacentral:rRNA from 1 species
AGGGGUAAAAGGGUGCUUUAGUUAGGCCGGAUGAGACAGCGCAGGAAUCAACCUGGCAACUGCCUUGAAAACCGGCGAAAUAGAAUAUGGUAGAGGUGAGUGAAAUUUCUGGAGUAGCGGGGAAAUGGGUGAAGAUGAGAAAGAACAUCAGGGGCGAAGGUGGCGCAGGGGGGCUAUUAUCACUAUGAGGUCCGAAAGGGUGGAUAGCAAACGGAAUUAGCUGGCCUGGUAGUCCUGGCAGUAAACGAUGUAUACUAUCCGUAGUGGUCCUCGAGACUUUAGGAGGGCAGGUAACGCAAUAAAUAGACCGCAUUGGGAGUCCGGUGGCAAGAGUUAAAAUGAAAGGAAUUGAAGGGGAUCCGCACGAGCGGUGGCACAUGUGGUAUAAUUUGAAGCAACUCGAAGAUCCUUGCGUAAUCUUGACAUCCAGAAAAUUCAGUAGAGAAGGGGUAGUACCUUCGGGAUCUUUGAGACAGGUGCAGCAUGGCUGUUGUCAGUCGUCAUUGUGAAAUGUUGGGUUAAAUCCUAAAUCGAGCGCAACCCUUGUCCUUAGUUAUUAACAUUAAGUUGAGAACUUUAAGGAGACUACCGGGGACAACCGGGCAGAAGGUGGGGAAGGUGUCAAGUCAUCAUGGCCCUUACGAGUAGGGCGUCAUGGGCCACACAAUGGCCAGUACAAAGGGUUGCCAAGCCAGGAGUGGAGCUAAUCCCAGAAAUCUGGUCGUAGUCCGGAUCGGAGUUUGCAACUUACUCUGUGAAGUCGGAUGCUGUAGUAAUCGUUAUCAGAAAUCAGCGGAGGUGAAUUCCUUGGGCCCCGUGCUGGUUCCCCCUCCCCCCACCAGGGCAGCACUAGAGUUUGAUCCUGGCUCAGUAAGUCGUAACAAGGUAACCACUAGA